AGUGAACGCUGGCGGUAGGCCUAACACAUGCAAGUCGAACGGCAGCACAGUAAGAGCUUGCUCUUACGGGUGGCGAGUGGCGGACGGGUGAGGAAUACAUCGGCAUCUACUUUUUCGGGGGGGAUAACGUAGAGAAACUUACGCUAAUACCGCAUACGACCUACGGGUGAAAGCAGGGGAUCUUCGGACCUUGCGCGAUUGAAUGAGCUGAUGUCGGAUUAGCUAGUUGGCGGGGUAAAGGCACACCAAGGCGACGAUGCGUAGCUGGUCUGAGAGGAUGAUCAGCCACACUGGAACUGAGACACGGUCCAGACUCCUACGGGAGGCAGCAGCGGGGAAUAUUGGACAAUGGGCGCAAGCCUGAUCCAGCCAUGCCGCGUGAGUGAAGAAGGCCUUCGGGUUGUAAAGCCCUUUUGUUGGGAAAGAAAAGCAGCAGGUUAAUACCCCGCUGUUCUGACGGUACCCAAAGAAUAAGCACCGGCUAACUUCGUG
rnacentral:rRNA from 1 species